GUGGGGAAUCUUCCGCAAUGGACGAAAGUCUGACGGAGCAACGCCGCGUGAGUGAAGAAGGUUUUCGGAUCGUAAAGCUCUUUCGUUAGGGACGAACGUGCUCUUUGUGAAUAAUGAGGAGUAAUGACGGUACCUAAAUAAGAAGCCACGGCUAACUACGUGCCAGCAGCCGCGGUAAUACGUAGGUGGCAAGCGUUGUCCGGAAUUAUUGGGCGUAAAGCGCGCGCAGGCGGGAUAUCAAGGCUGUCUUAACAGUGCGAGGCUCAACCUCGUGGGGGGACAGAAACUGGUAUUCUUGAGUGUCGGAGAGGAAAGUGGAAUUCCAAGUGUAGCGGUGAAAUGCGUAGAGAUUUGGAAGAACACCAGUGGCGAAGGCGACUUUCUGGACGAUGUCUGACGCUGAGGCGCGAAAGCUAGGGGAGCGAACGGGAUUAGAAACCCUAGUAGUCC
rnacentral:rRNA from 1 species